rnacentral:rRNA from 1 species
GACGAACGCUGGCGGCGUGCUUAACACAUGCAAGUCGAACGGAGUGGCGAACGGGUGAGUAACACGUGGGUGAUCUGCCUUGCACUUCGGGAUAAGCUUGGGAAACUGGGUCUAAUACCGGAUAGUGCAAGAUGAGCUCGCGGCCUAUCAGCUUGUUGGUGGGGUAAUGGCCUACCAAGGCGUCGACGGGUAGCCGGCCUGAGAGGGGGUACGGCCACAUUGGGACUGAGAGACGGCGCAGGCUCCUACGGGGGGAAGCGGGGGGGAGUAUGGCACAAGGGGCGGAAGCCUGAUGCAGCGACGCCGGGUGGGGGAUGAAGGCUUUCGGGGUGUAAACUCCUUUCGACAGGGACGCGGUACCUGUAGAAGAAGCACCGGCUAACUACGUGCCAGCAGCCGCGGUAAUUC